GAUGAAGAACGCAGCGAAAUGCGAUAAGUAAUGUGAAUUGCAGAAUUCAGUGAAUCAUCGAGUCUUUGAACGCACAUUGCGCCCCCUGGUAUUCCGGGGGGCAUGCCUGUCCGAGCGUCAUUGCCGCCCUCAAGCACGGCUUGUGUGUUGGGCCCCCGCCCCCCGGCUUCGGGGGGCGGGCCCGAAAGGCAGCGGCGGCACCGCGUCCGGUCCUCGAGCGUAUGGGGCUUCGUCACCCGCUCUAUAGGCCCGGCCGGCGCCCGCCGGCGACCCCAAUCAAUCUUUCCAGGUUGACCUCGGAUCAGGUAGGGAUACCCGCUGAACUUAAGCAUAUCAAUAAGCGGAGGA
rnacentral:misc_RNA from 1 species